UUUGGUGGUGUGUGUUCUUCAACAGUUGUUGGUUUUAGAAAUAUCCUUGAAUAUAAGGAUUGAUUUAUUACCAAAAGAAGAGUGUUACAGUAAAUGACUGUUCUUAUCAUCUGUCAAUUUAUAUGGGGGAUAGGUGAUCUUUUUUUUUGAACGAGUAUAAAUUGAAUCUUUCAACAGUUGAAUUGUUUGUUGUAUCAUCCAAUUCUUGCCUCCUCAAAAUUAUCGACUAUCCAUAAUAUAAAUAAAAGUUAAAAUACAUCAACUUCCUUCAUCUAAUGUUAGUAUUCAUAUUACAUAUGCCAAUUUAAGUGGGAAUCAAUCCACCUAAAUGACUCGAUUCAAGUGCUAAACAAGUUCGAAACAUGGAACGAAAUUUAGAAUACGGAUCAAAGUUAAAAUUCGAACUCAUGAAGGAGCUAUGUCUGGCAGUUUGGGGAGGUUCUUGCAACAACUGAACAUGAAGAGGCGAUAGUCAUAUCUGAGAUUGAUUAUUCCCUUAUUGAGCAAAGAAGAACAUAUCUUCCAUUCGAGAGGCAGCGGCGAGGAGACCUUUACCAGGUUGUUGAUGUCCAGAGAGUUGGCUCGGUUUGAUAUGCAAUAAAUGAUCGGAUGUUUAUCCCAAGACCAAGACAUGAUUUCGUGAUCUCUCAUGAUUCUGCUGGCUGAUGUCCAAACUGCACCAUUUCUGGAUUUAAUUCCACUGCCUGUGUCUGUUACCUAACAGAGUAUUGGUAAUAUGUAGGAUACCAUACGAAUUCAAUUCUGUCUUCUACCAAACAGCGC